UCCUCCUUACAGAGGCAGUUUGAUCCGAGUUCCCGGCUUUAACCGCUGGCAACAGAUCAUGAGGGUUGCGCUCGUUGCGGGACUUAACCCAACAUUUCACAACACGAGCUGACGACAGCCAUGCACCACCUGUGCUCCACCCUCGAAGGCGACUCCGUUUUGGGAGCUUGCAGAAGCAUGUCAAGCCCUGGUAAGGUUCUUCGCGUUGCAUCGAAUUAAUCCACAUCAUCCACCGCUUGUGCGGGUCCCCGUCAAUUCCUUUGAGUUUUAAUCUUGCGACCGUACUCCCCAGGCGGUCAACUUCACGCGUUAGCUGCGUUACCAAGUCAAUUAAGACCCGACAACUAGUUGACAUCGUUUAGGGCGUGGACUAC
rnacentral:misc_RNA from 1 species